AUUGUAAGAAAUAUGCCGAAUAAGGAUCACGUGCAAAUAGCCUGGCUUGGUACCGUCGUCAUCGUGGUCCAGGUCAACGGUAUAUUAUGAAAGGGAAUAUCGAUCUCAGCAUAAUUUGGGAAAAGGAAAUACACGCGGGCAUUGAAGGGAAAGACAGAUUGGCUUUGACUAUUGAAAGUUUAAGUCGAUCCCGGUGACUUUUAUAUUUUGUUUGCUUUUGUUCAUUUUAUUUUUAAAUCUUAAAUUGUAAUUAAAAUAGUUAUUUUUUUUUUAAA